AAAAAGUGUCUACUUUUCAUAAAAAAAAUCAAUCAACAUCUACAUCAACACAGAAAAAAUCAAUUAAGACUCAAAUAAAAAAAAAAAAUCAAAUAACCCCAAAAUCCAUAAGAUAUUAUGUUUAUUAUUUUUGUUUUUCAUAAAAAAAUUUUAAUUAAGACCCAAAUCCAGGGAAUGGCCUGGCCUAGAAACUUAAAUCCAUUAAAGAAAAAAAAAAUAGCUCAUUAUUAUCAUUCAUAAUUAAUAACUAAUCAACUUUACAUCAUUAAAUAUUGGUGAAAUUAAUUCAGUGUAGUGGGAUCCACACUCUCCACCAAGAUCUGCUUUUGUCUUUCACCAUAGCUUUAAUUGCAUUCUCUUUCUAGAUAUUUAUUUUACUAAAAAAAUGACAACAAAUUUCUACACAUAUAAAAUGAAUCUCUCUUCUACAUGAUAAAAUUCACCAUUUAUUAUUUAUUGCUACUUUCACUUUGCACAUUGGCAGAUGACAACACCAAGCUAAGGUCUAUUAUAGUAUUAUUACACUUGAAGGAAAUAGAGAUCACAGCUUCUUGUUUUAUGAACUUUUCUUUACGGUAAUAAUAGUUCACUUGGUUAGAGACUUUUUUCAAUUUUUCUAUAAUAAUAUAAAAUUUAAGAUAAAUUAUUACUUUAAAUUCUCUAAAAUGUUAUCGUAUUUUGGUGACAAACUGAAAGGCAAGAUAUGUAAUAUAAUAAGGUAGCUAGUUGUAUGAGUUGUUAAAAUUGUCGAGGUUGGUCAUGGUUUUAUUUGAGAUAAAAGGGAUGGCCAAUUGGCCACAAAAAGAUUAUGUGUACUAGAUCUGAAUGUGGAAUCCGGGAUAAACUAAAAAAGUAAAAACCUAUUUGAGGACCUUUUGAAUAAAUCAUGAUGUCCAGUCAAAAAAUUCAUAUUAAAAGAAUAAUGAUGAGGAAUGUAUUUGCAUUGCUUAGCUUGAGAUGUGAGACGCAGUUGCUAAGGAAUUGGAACUCUGAGCAGAGAGUUGGAUGCCCAAUCGGAAAAUUGGCUCGGCAGUUCACAAGGUCAGGCCAACUUAUCCAAUUGAAGUGCUCAUCGAUGAAGACAUUAUGGAUGAAACAACAUCCUUGCUCAAUCCCGAAGCAAGUUUAGGCCGUAAUUCUAAUGAAGAUGACGAUAAGCAAGACUGCCAAUUGGUGUAUAAUGAGUGCAAGAUGCAAAGUGGUGCCAC
rnacentral:lncRNA from 1 species